UCGCAGCGCUGCGGUGGCUGCGCGCUGCUGCGGGGAUGAUUCACAGCUCUCCCCCUUGGCCUUGAGGAGGAGAAGCCCUGUGAGGGAAGCAGUGGGAGAAAGGGGACAGGGCAGCUGCCAUCAGCUGAUGUGGGCUCCCCCCAGGUCUGCUGCACCACAGCUCCCCUCCAUCCCCCCUGCCGUGCCCGCCGGGCUGGUGCAGCAGGAGGAUGGGGGCAAAGCUGGAUUUCAGGUCCGAGCCCACCUGUGAGCCAUGGUCACCAUCCUUCAGCCUGCCAGGAGCCAUGCCAGAGCCUCUCACCUCCAAGGAUGAUGCCAGGGAGGGCUGGCCAUGCCAUGCAAUGGCUGGAAGAGUGGCUGAGCCGUUCCAGAUCUCCCCCAGGAUCUGCUAAUGCACUGUAAUUGCCGCUGAUGAAGAAAUGUUAAUGCCCCAGGAUUAAUUCACGCUAGAUUAAAGUUUCAUUUGAAUUAUC